rnacentral:lncRNA from 1 species
GGACCUCUGACGGUCCGAGGACCAGAGCUUGGAUCAACCUAUGAUAUCACUGGUCCAAGAAGCGGAAAUGCAAGUAACGUGAUAAUGUGACGAGCAUUGUAAACAGCCGUGAAUGUUUUUGCUAGCCUGUAAAAGGAAUGCCGUUACAAGAGUCGUUUACUUGAAGCUCCAGGAUGUUGUGUGAAGUCUUGCUGUCAUCGUUAUGGUUCCUAUUUGUGAUCUUCUGGGUCGAGACAAUAAAUGUUUGGCUGUUUCUGUCUAUGUUCUACCAGGACCGGGCGUUUUACCACUGGGGAGAUGGGGUAUUUGCAGAUGAUCCUGGACGGAUGAUAUACAUGUUGAGCAGAGCUGAUAGCCAUAUGCAGACAGAGAUGCAGACCUGAGACCGGAAAAGAUAAAGACUUCUACUGAAAGAAUCCUCAAUGAAAGGCUGUUGCACAUAUAUGACUGAAGGACAUAUGAUGAAAAGCAGUAGCUGUUUUUCUUUUUCACUGAUCGCCUUGCACACUGUUUUGCACAGUCCUUGUUAACAAAGUUAAAUGUUGGCCCACCUUAAUAAUAGCUGGUGGAGAGUUGCAGCAUGAGUGAAGGUGCAACUAAGAGUAAUAUUAAGGAUGAUUGAUGUGUAUCACACCCACCAAUGAAAAAAUAAUUAUUUGCACUUUCAUAUUUUGGGAAAGCAGAAUCAAUGUAGCAGAAGAUCCUUGGUUGGGUUGCUCUUUCUUUUCACUCCAUUUUGGGACUUCCACAGAGAUGGUAUUUUGAUCACACUGCCGUUCUAUGCAACUACAGUUGUUACUGUCUGCAGCUAUAUUUGUUUGUUUUUUAAUUUCAGAUUGCAGUAAAUCAUAAAUGAGGUUUAUGAACAUUAUUGUCAGAUGUGUUGGUGUAUGUUUGAUGCCACAACCUUCAACAAAUAGCUAAGCUAGCUUUGAAUAUUGGAGGUGGUGGAACCAUGAACUGAACACAAUAGCAUGAUGACUAAGAUUUCUUUAUUUGAUCAAGGAUUCAUAUUUUUUACACUCAGAACGUUCACCUACAUUUAAUAAACUGGCAAUAGGCACAACAUUAUUUAAGCUUAAAGGUUUAUUGUAAACCUUGGAAAUACUUUGUCCACUUUCAACCACAUCUUGUGGCCUUUAUCUGUGGAUGGAUAUUUCUUAAUUAUAUCUCUAUACCAAUAUAAGACUAGUGAGGUCACAUGAUAACUGAGCCAUCUGUCUACUUGGAAGUGGACCUUUUGGGGGUUUUUGGUCAGAAAGGAGAAACAUGUAAUGUGUGUCUAACGACAAGAAAAUAAUAAUGGGGAGUAUACGCCAUAGUAGGGAUCCUCUCUCAAGCAAUAUGUCAAUGUUAUAUCCAGUAAAUGAAAAAAUAAAAAUACUUUUGAAAUUUCUUUGCAAGCCUGUGAGAUUAUUGGU